rnacentral:rRNA from 1 species
GACGAACCGUGCGAACGUUGUUCGGAAUCACUGGGCUUAAAGGGCGCGUAGGCGGCUCCGAAAGUCCGGGGUGAAAGCCCCCCCAGCUUAACUGGGGAAGUGCCUCGGAUACUGCGGAGCUCGAGGGAGGUAGGGGCGGAUGGAACUUCCGGUGGAGCGGUGAAAUGCGUUGAUAUCGGAAGGAACGCCGGUGGCGAAAGCGAUCCGCUGGCCCUCUACUGACGCUGAGGCGCGAAAGCCAGGGGAGCAAACGGG